UAUUUUAAGCUUAAUUAAAGUAUUUUUUAUGACAUUAGCGAUGUUCAUCUGGCAACCAUGCCUCAGUACCCAAUCUGAUUAUGUAUACCCGUGACUCGCUAUGACUAUAGACUCAUCCUACGUAAACGGUUUCAUUGUAAAAAAUACAUUCAAAUUAUUACAAAUAGUGUUGGUCCAUGGGCGGCGAUCUUAGGAGAGACAAGGCGAGUCUUACCUCUGCCCUACUACCUCUUUCGGUAUAAAUGACAACUCAUAUCCAGUUACCAUCAUUUUUAUUUCGUUGUAUUUGCUGAUCUCAUAUAACGUUGCUCCGAGUUUUGCUAAGCGCUUGUGUUUAACUUUAAAAGGACAAAUGCAUUAUCUGUGUUGUGAUUGUCGAACGAAUCAUUAACUUUAUGCUUGUAAUUACGGACAAAAGGGACCUUAUGUCUUGUUUGUGUGAUAAAAGACACCAUUAGCCAUGAGCUUGUCUCUUCGAGUAAUUAUUUUAUUAUCGAUAAACCAUAGAUUUUCGUAACUCGAUGUGUUGUAAGAUUGACUCAACCUCGGUGGAUAUGGAAUAGGCCUAUACUGGAAACGACAACCAAUUUUUCCCAACUUUGCUUCCAUGGAAUUUAUACAGAGACGCACAAAAACAGGAAUGCAGCAGUAUCGGAAUGCAAAGAAGCAAGUGAAGCAGACUUUACAGAACUGUCAAUAUAAAGUAAUGCAGUGACCAGACACCGAGGAGAUGAUCAGGUUUUCCCUGCCAUGUGGAGAGAGAAACCGUAAAUAAUGGGGUUAUGGAAGAAAAUUCACGUCUCUAUGAAUUUUGGACCAAGCGAACGAAGGUGUAGUGUACAGUUCUACUCAGGCGACUCAAUUUUUUUUAGGGUCCUGACCGUGGGUUGACACAUCCGGUAUGAAGCAUCUGCGUAGCACACCAAGAUGGAAAAA